GCCUGCCGGCCGCUGUCUCUUUGCCGAACCACAUUUAGUGUCAUACUUGUCGUAUAUUCAAAUGAGCGUGAUGGCUUUACUCAAUGUUGAGCUACAUAGUGACAAGAUGAAAGCGGCGGUUCUGAGGGACGAAGGUAGAAUUCCCAACGUAAAUCACUAAGCGCAACCGAGAGUUGAUGUUUA